rnacentral:rRNA from 1 species
AUGAAAAGUUUAUCUCGGGCUCUUACAGCUGCUAAGAACUUUUGUAGAUGGAUCCCUGGAGAUAGUAAAAGCAUUGCCUUUUGGCAUGACAUUUGGACUGGAGAUUGCUCUUUAAAAACUGCAUUUUGGGACCUAUAUAAAAUUUGCCAACAACAAGAUUCUACCCUAGCGCAGGUCUGGGUGAAUGGUGACCUACGAUUAACCUUUAGGAGGUGUGUCAUAGAAAACACCUUAGUGAGAUGGGAGGAACUUAUCAAAAUUGUUGAACCUGUUUGUCUGUCUGGCUCUCUAGACCAACCUGUCUGGAUGUUGGAUUCUUCUAACAAGUACUCGGUCAAAUCCUUUUAUAAGCUAAUUAACUUUGGAGGGAUAUCUUUUGUCAUUAAAGAUGAUAUAUGGAAGAUCAAAGUGCCACCUAAUAUACCUGUUUUUCUCUGGUUAAUAUACUAUAAGAAGAGCCUAACUAGAGAUAACUUGGCCAAACACAGGCAUGUAGAUGACAUGUCUUGUGUCUUCUGCAGCGAACCUGAAACUAUCCAGCAUCUAUUCUUUGAUUGCAUUGUUGCUAAAAAUGUCUGGAAUCUAGUUGCUGAUAUUUUAAAGGUUGAUGUUCCUAAUUCAUUUGCUUUGCUAACUUCCUUCUGGAAGAGAAGAAAAGACCUUGAAGCUUUAAACAUCGUUACUGCUGCUACCUUGUGGAGGUUAUGGCGUUUUCGAAAUGAAUUUGUUUUCCAGGGGCGAGGAUGGCGAAGUAUACGAUGUGUUUUGGACCUGUUGGGGGCAACGAUCAAGCAAUGGAAAAUACUAUGCUCAGAAGCUCAGGGUGCGCUACUUGUCCGAUGUUUAAGGCUACUGGACCACCGAAGAGGGGAAUUGCUUAGGAUUGCUUGGAGAUAA